rnacentral:rRNA from 1 species
GUGGGGAAUAUUGGACAAUGGGCGCAAGCCUGAUCCAGCCAUGCCGCGUGAGUGAUGAAGGCCCUAGGGUUGUAAAGCUCUUUCACCGGUGAAGAUAAUGACGGUAACCGGAGAAGAAGCCCCGGCUAACUUCGUGCCAGCAGCCGCGGUAAUACGAAGGGGGCUAGCGUUGUUCGGAUUUACUGGGCGUAAAGCGCACGUAGGCGGAAUGUUAAGUCAGAGGUGAAAUCCUGGAGCUCAACUCCAGAACUGCCUUUGAUACUGGCAAUCUCGAGUCCGGAAGAGGUGAGUGGAACUCCUAGUGUAGAGGUGGAAUUCGUAGAUAUUAGGAAGAACACCAGUGGCGAAGGCGGCUCACUGGUCCGGUACUGACGCUGAGGUGCGAAAGCGUGGGGAGCAAACAGGAUUAGAUACCCGUGUAGUCC